CCUACCCACAGCAUCCUCCCCGCCUUCAGACAGUUCCAGGAACAGGGGGGCCAUGGCUGCUGCCUGCUGCAGGGUCACUGCGUGAUGCGAGCAUCGCAGCAUCUCAGUUUUGGAUCCUAAAAUCAACCAAAGGCAGAAUCUGACCGCUUUCCAAAGCAAUGAUCCUUUAGAUUGAGAACAAAAUGGUGGA